AAAGUCGUAACAAGGUAACCGUAGGUGAACCUGCGGUUGGAUCAUUACAUUACCUCAGAGGCCAAAAAAGCACGUGCUCGGCUCCCGGAUGUCUUUUAGGGGCAGCGUCUCGAUGGUGUCCUUAGGGGCAGCAGGCGCCGCCCCAUGACGCAAACCGCGAGUGCGGGCGACGGUUUGUGGCUCGAUUGCGUGAACGGUUUCCGUCUUUGGCGAGAAGGGGGGGUAAAGGUGGCCCCUCAUGCCUGCCCAGUCCAGUCCAGAUGUGCUGAAAUUAGAUUUUCGGCGACCUGGAGAUUUGGGGGAGGCAGCUCGCCGCUGGAUCCCUGGAAUUUUGGUUCCAUGGGUGAUGCAUUUGUCAUUCUUUGGAUAUCUGGACAUUGACAUCAGAAACAAAAAAAAACAACUUUUGGCAACGGAUCUCUUGGCUCUU
rnacentral:misc_RNA from 1 species